rfam:Lachnospiraceae bacterium 9_1_43BFAA genomic scaffold supercont1.3, whole genome shotgun sequence.
AUGAUAAAUUCGAGAGAGACUACACGGGAAACCGAUGUGGCGCCGAAGGGGAAAGGAGUACCAAAGCUCUCAGGCAAAAGGAUUGAAUUUGGACG